AGAUAUAGCCUGGGGGGUCAUGUACUCAGUUUUCUUCUGUUGAGAACAUUGCCAGAGUGAUUUUCUUUGUUUUUUCCUUUUUAGGAACAAAACAUUACCCUUUCAUUUGUACUGCCUCCUUCCACACGAGUGCCCCUUUGGCCAAAGAAGAUUAUUACCAGAUAUUAGGAGUGCCUCGAAAUGCCAGCCAGAAAGAGAUCAAGAAAGCCUAUUAUCAGCUUGCCAAGAAGUAUCACCCUGACACAAAUAAGGAUGAUCCCAAAGCCAAGGAGAAGUUCUCCCAGCUGGCAGAAGCCUAUGAGGUUUUGAGUGAUGAGGUGAAGAGGAAG
rnacentral:sRNA from 1 species